CAACAGGGAUUGCCUCAGUAACGGCGAGUGAAGCGGCAACAGCUCAAAUUUGAAAUCUGGCCCUAGGCCCGAGUUGUAAUUUGCAGAGGAUGCUUUUGGCGCGGUGCCUUCCGAGUUCCCUGGAACGGGACGCCAUAGAGGGUGAGAGCCCCGUCUGGUCGGACACCAAGCCUCUGUAAAGCUCCUUCGACGAGUCGAGUAGUUUGGGAAUGCUGCUCAAAAUGGGAGGUAUAUGUCUUCUAAAGCUAAAUACCGGCCAGAGACCGAUAGCGCACAAGUAGAGUGAUCGAAAGAUGAAAAGCACUUUGGAAAGAGAGUUAAACAGCACGUGAAAUUGUUAAAAGGGAAGCGUUUAUGACCAGACUUGGGCCGGUUGAUCAUCCAGCGUUCUCGCUGGUGCACUCUGCCGGUCCAGGCCAGCAUCAGUUCGCUGCGGGGGAUAAAGGCGUCGGGAAUGUGGCUCCUCGGAGUGUUAUAGCCCUUCGCGCAAUACCCUGUGGCGGACUGAGGUUCGCGCAUUCGCAAGGAUGCUGGCGUAAUGGUCAUCAACGACCCGUCUUGAAACACGGACCAAGGAGUCGUCUUCGUAUGCGAGUGUUCGGGUGUAAAACCCCUACGCGUAAUGAAAGUGAACGCAGGUGAGAGCUUCGGCGCAUCAUCGACCGAUCCUGAUGUUCUCGGAUGGAUUUGAGUAAGAGCAUACGGGGCCGGACCCGAAAGAAGGUGAACUAUGCCUGUAUAGGGUGAAGCCAGAGGAAACUCUGGUGGAGGCUCGCAGCGGUUCUGACGUGCAAAUCGAUCGUCAAAUAUGGGCAUGGGGGCGAAAGACUAAUCGAACCUUCUAGUAGCUGGUUUCCGCCGAAG
rnacentral:rRNA from 1 species